rnacentral:tRNA from 1 species
AAGGGUGUAGCUCAGUGGUAGAGUGCAUGCUUAGCAUGCAUGAGGUCCUGGAUUCAGCCUUCAGUACCUCCA